UUCUUGUUAUGGAUUUCGUAUUGGUUUAGUGCUUCUGUUAUUUUGCGUGUGAUAAUGUUGUGCAUUUUGUUUCAUUAGGUUCGUUAAUUCAAAUGCACAAAUGGGAUUUCGCCAAUUUAGGUUAAAGUAAAAUCUUACAUGGGCUUUAGGCAAGUUUGUUUCGAAGAUAGAUAAUUUGAAAGACUAGGGAGUGGAAGUUUUGAUUGAUGUGUUCCCAUAUACAUGUAAUUUUGUAGUUUACUGAAAUGGACCUUUGUACCUUUAUGCUUAUAGGUUCAACUGGAACCCACAACCUCCUGGGGUUUAGUUCGCAGAAACUUGUCUGGACCAUCAAAAUAUACAGGAAUGUUACAAGCAACAAAGGACAUUUUCAGAGAAGAAGGAUUACCGGAUUUCUAGCGUGGAAAUGUUCCAGCCUUGCUUAUGGUUAUGCCUUUCUUUAUUACCAUUGCAGAGUCAUUUUUGUCCUUCUUUGAUACACAGUAACAUAUCCUUUGACUUGUUCAGCAGUGUCAAUGUUUUCAUUGUAAGUUAUUCCAUAAAUUUGUUGGAAGAUAUGCAAGGACAAGGAUGAAGCUGAAGCCUGACUUGCUGCUCUGAGGACCUUGAUUUCUCAAGAUAUUUGUUUCUUUAAUAAGUUUUCUUUUAUGUCUAUUAAUUUGUUAGAACAAUGCAUAGCUUAUUCUUCUUCAAUAUGCAUAGAUUUUUUUUCCUUUUUUUUGACAUUUAGUUUAAUUUUUUUUGUUAGAAUAAAAAAAAAAAACUAAAUAUUCUAAGAUUUUAGUCAUUUCUAUUUGAUUUUUAGUUUCAAUUCCUAUUAUUUGUUUGUUUUUUCUUAUUUUAAUUAAAAAAAUUAAUUUUCUUUUUUCAAAUUUAGAUAGUUGUAGUUGGUUUAUUUUUAAAUUUGAUUUCAAAUUAUAUUAAAAUAUUUUAUGAUAAUUUAAGAGUUAUUAGUAACAAAAUAUAGUUAUAAAACUGUUCUUUUAUAAUGGACUAAACCAUAUCAUACCACUUAUUAUUUCAGUUAUUUAUUUAAACCUCAAUCCAAUAUAUAAAACUCAUUUUUGUUUUGUAUAAUUUUACAAUCUUAUUUUAUAAGAGUAAAUAAUAAAUCACCUUAAUAUAUAACACUCAUUUUUAUUUUGUAUAAUUUUACAAACUUA